rnacentral:lncRNA from 1 species
UGUACUCAUAUACAUAAAAUAAUAAAAUAAAUCUAAAUAAAUAAAUAAUAAAAAAAGAAAAUACAAGUGUGUAUGUGUAUACAUAAGUAUACAUAUACUAGCAAAAGUAUAUGGAUAUAUGUAAUAUAUACAUGUUAGAGAUACCAUGUUAGAGGUUAUUGUCUCCACUCUCCCACUGAGUUUUCUAGUGUGGGUUUCUUUCUUUUUUUUUUUUUUUCUUUUUUGGUUUUGUUGUUGUUGUUGUUGUUUUCGAGACAGGGUUUCUCUGUGUAGCCCUAGCUAUCCUGAAACUCACCACAUGCUCAAAGAAAUUAAGUUAUGCAAGUUAUAUAAGUUAUGUUAUAACUUACGCUAAUGAUUUUGAAAUUUUAAUGGACUAUGAAUAUUCUAGAUACAUUCAUUGUUAAAAUUGUCUAAAGCAGAAAAAUAAAAGUUGAAUAGACCUUAGCCAUAAGUAAAAUGAGGAAGCUGUUUUUAAAAAGUGAUAACUUUUCUAAAGGACUAAGCAGAGAUGGUCUCGUGGACGAGUAUUUCCAAACCCUAUAGGAAUUCCAUCUAUAGUAUUUAAAUAUGUUGAAACAAGUAGAAACAUGAACAGUUUUAUACAUUAAUGGAAUUAACAAAAGUCAUACCUCACUGUUAGGAAUAUGAGGUGAUGUGACCACAGAAAACAGUUGUCAUUUCCUUCAAGUUAAAGAAAAGAUUACCCUAGCAGGUCACUCCUGGACAGACACCCAAAGGAAUGAAAGCAAGAGUUCGUGCAGAGCUUAUACACCAGUUUUCACUGCAGCUUUACUCACAGGAGCAAACAAGUAGAAACAAGCCAGAGGACUAAGCAAAAUGUGAUGUAUGCAGUGGCCUGUCAUUUGGCCUUGAAAGGACUCUGAUAUAUAGUACUCCAUGAUAAAUCUUAAAAGAAGUGAAACAAGUGAAGCUGAGUGAGAUAAGCCAAACACAGAGGACAACACUGUGUGAUUUCACUUAACUGAAAUAUCUACAUUAAGCUAAUUCUUAAAGAUGAGAAAUUAGAAAAUACCACGAAUUGAGAGGUAGAGAGAACUGAGUGGUCAUUGCCUAAUAAUAGUGAGUUUGUGUUUGAAAUAAUUUUAAAAAGUUAAGGAUAUAAAUAAAUGUAAACAGUAGCAUUUUAAAUAAAAUAAUGCUCCUGAAUUGUACUUUUUAAAUGUUUUUUUACCAUUUCCUCUGUGUAUACACAUGCAUGCCUAUGUACACAGUACAUCUGCCACUUGUUGCUCUUGCAGAAGACCUAGAUUCAGUUCUCAGCACCCAUAUGGUGGGUCAGAGCCAUCUCUAAGUCCAGCUGUAGGAGAUUCAGUGGCCUCUUCUGACUUCACAGCAUCAGACAUCAAAUGGUACACAUAUGUAAUAUGUAGGCAAAACGCUAAUAAACACAAAAGUUUUACAACCUUUUUUAAAAAAAAAUUGUGAAAAUGGGCUAGGCAUGGCCGGUAUAUGUUAAUCUCAGCACUCAAGUGACUAAGGUAUGAAGAACAUGAGUUUGAGGCCACUCACACUUCAUAGGAAGUACAGUCUAGGCCACAGGGAAAGACUUAAACACACAAAAAUUAAACCAAAAACAAAGGAAGGAGGAGAGAGAAAAGGGAGGGAAGCCACAAGUGUAAAAGUUUGACAUAUUUGCCAAUCAUGUCUACAAGUAUACAGAAGUAUUGGAAAGCCAAGCAUGGUGGUUCUUGCCUAUACUUCUAGCACUUAAGAGGCAGAGGCAAGGGAUCUGCAGGGCAAAGCUAGCCUGGACUCACAUGCUCACUACUAUUAGUCACUGAGGAUAUGAUGACUCGAACAGAAGAGCCUGAUGUGGCACAUGACAACUAUAGACUAAUCCAGGCCGUGUUUACUAGGCUCCGUGCCUAAAGAAAAGGGCACCACCAGUUGCUGGUCAAAAUAUGGCUUCUCCAAACACUCACUUAGUGCAGAUGAGGAUAGAACAUGGUACAGACCCCUUUGGAAAGAAGGUAACAGUUUUUUAUAAAACCAGAUGUAUGAGUACCACGUGACCUAGCAAUACACUCUUCAACUAUGUUUUCAUAUCAGGGUUAGGGCCUCUGGUUUCUCAUAACGACAUGUGAUGCUAGGUAUGAAGUUCAUUACAAUUGAUCAACUUUCAGGCUUAGAGGUUAUUGUCUACACUCUCCCACUGAGUUUUCUAAUGUGGGUUUCUUUUGUUGUUGUUGUUGUUGUUGUUGUUGUUGUUGUUGUUGUUUUCAAGACAGGGUUUCUCUGUGUAGCCCUAGCUAUUCUGGAACUCACUCUGUAGACCAGGCUGGCCUCAAACUCAGAAAUCCACCUGCCUCUGCCUCCCAAGUGCUGGGACUAAAGGCGUGUGCCACCACGCCCGGCUCUAAUGUGGUUUUCUUUUUUUUUUUUUUCUUUUUUUUUUAUUAGGUAUUUUAAUGUGGUUUUCUUAUUGUUAAACAUUUUCUAUUUUUUGUUGUUGAGAUUUUCUAUUUUGUAUUUAUUUCAAGACAAUUGACCAUUGCUUUUUUUCAAUUCUUUUUAUAACUGCUUUAAAGUCUUUGUGUCGAUAACCAUGGAUUAUUUUUCCGCAGAGAUGAAUUAAAUGCAUGAUUUUGCCAUAUGCCAGCUGAAUAUUGUAUUGUAAGACUCUGGUACCUAUUUCAGUCUUUCUGAGGGAGGGCACCUGAGGAUCUAGCUUAGUUGGUAGAUCCCUUGCCUAGCUGCAGAACCCCACAGGUUCAGCCCCAGCGCUGUAGAAAGUGGGUAUAGUAGCACAUGCCUGUGACUCCAGCACUUGAAUUUGACAUAUCACCCAUUUAUAAGUAAAUAACUCUAUUUGCUUUCUAUCCUGUAUCAUACGUAAGUAACUACAUUUAUUUUGUAUCCUGUAUCAAGUAAAUAACUACAUUUGUUUUAUAUCCUGUAUAUAAAAAUGCAUAGGACUAGAAAUGUUUUCAGAACUUUUAAAGCUUUACUAUUUGCAUAUAACUAUAGUAAGAUAUCCUAUGGAUAGGGUUCAAGUCUAAGUGUAAAUAUUUAUGUUUCAUAUAUACCUUAUACAUAUAUUCUAAAGGUAUAUAUGCAGUAUUUUUAGUAUGUCUGGAUUUUGAUUAUGACUUUUUGAUUGGAUUUUGAUUAUAGACAUUACUACUUCAGUUAUCAUAUCUAUACCUAGAAAAUUCCAAAUUUUAAAGGACUUUGGGGUUUUUUUUACUUAGAUAUGCUAAUCAUAUUUAUCCAGUUUUCAAAGCCUGUCAUAUAUACACCACCUAUUGGUCUACAGGAAACCUGGGAAAUGCUCUGUCUCUUGAUUUAGCUCUGAAAGUGUUUGAUAUGCAGUUAUAGGUGCAGAUCCUUAUUAAAUGGUCCAAGUUUAGCCCAGGACUUCAAAAACAAGUCAGAGGGAAAGUUUCCCAAGCUUUUGUGUUCCUUAAUAUCUUCUGCUUCUUGGAUGUCUCCUACCUGGUUCUUUUCUUCUUCUCAUUGAGGGGAGAAUAUCCUGUGGUGAACGUGUAGAGGUCAGAAGGCAGUUUGUGGGAGCUGGGUCUCUCCUUCAUGUGAAUCCUAGGGGUUGAACUGGACUCAGGUUGUCAAGUUUGGCAGCAAGCACCUUACCAGCUGAGCCAUUUUGCUAUUCCUGUUUGUCCUUCUUAUUGCUAGGUGUACAUACUUUUUCUUAGGAUUGUUUUUAAGUGUACAGGUAGGGGAAUUGUAUCUCACUUAGGUUAUUACACUACUGAUCCCAUAAUUUGUGUAACAUUUAGUGACUAUCAUGUACUUUCUCAUUUAUUCCCCUAAUAACUCUGAAAUAUUCUAAAUUUAAUUCCUACGAAAAUACUGAGUGAAUAAAAUUAAGGUUACCGUCUACAAGAGCCAGGAGUUUCUUGAAUGCAGAAGUUUACCUGUGUAUCCUCAGCUAUCUACUGAGAAUAGUGUCUCAGUGAGCAUUGGUGGAGCUAACGCCUUCCCUUCUCUCCACAGUACCUCGGCCACGUAGAAGUUGAUGAGUCAAGAGGAAUGCACAUCUGUGAAGAUGCCGUAAAGAGAUUGAAAGCUGUAUGUAUUUGGUGGUUGCUGGUCCUGAUCUGUGUUCUGUCAGUAAACAGUAAGAGCAGUGUGUUUUCCCAAGGGAAACGAUGUAGGCUUAC